rnacentral:lncRNA from 1 species
UGAGAAAAAAGUUUUGUCCUCUAAAACCAGAAUUCCCUUUUUCUCAUUUCUGGGUGGUUUUUCUCUUAGUUUUCUUUGAAAAAUAUUUCCCCUCCCACCCUCUUGACAAGUAUAGAGGCAAACAAUAUUAGGCAAUAUGGUGUCAGGCGAUUGUGUAUAUAAAGGAAGAGUAGUGACGAGUUAUACUUGUAAAGGCAUUUUGAACUAUACGAACUCCAACAAACUGAUAGAUAUUCUAUACAAAACUUUUUUUGGGGAUCUAUUUCUUAUAUGUGAUUAUAUGGGUUUGACGCUAUCCCACUGACCUCUUUUUCUGGGCAGAGGCUGAUCUAAGAUUUACGUAACGGGUUCAGGCGGUUGUCACUUGAGCAAUUGCUUCCUUAAAAUUAUAGGUUUAGAAUGUAAUAUUCAUUCUUCUUUUACAACUUGUUUGUAUUGUUGUUAAGUGUCGUUUCAUAAUGUAUCGUAUUGUAUUAUACUACAUUGUAUUGUAUUGUUUGAUGAACACAACGUUUGGAUAGAUUGUAUCGUUUGACGUCAUUUUAUGAUGUCAUGCACCAACAAUAUGAAGAAUAAACUUGCAAUAUUACAAUGAAAAAAUCGGAUACAAAGUAGAAUCUAUAUAUAUAUAAUCGAGGGCCCUAACCCCGGUGAGGUGGCACUCCCAAUAACCAGCAAUUGAAUUUCCUAGGCUCCAGGUUUUUUACCGGUAGUUUCACACUGAAAUUACAAAAAAAAAAAAAAAACGCUUCGCAUAUUCUUCGUCACCGCUUCUUCGCAUCAAACAAACAACAUCUAAACUUUCAACUGCGGUUCCACUUUCCCUUCUUCCAGCGCCGCUUCUUUAAAUUCCCUUACGUUGCCCCUGCUCCAAUUUACCCAACAUUCUCUGAAUUUAAAAUUCCCUUCCCCCUAUUCAAAUACCCCCAGGACUCUUAAUUACUGACAUUCAAAAACCUAUGCUUUACUCAACUACAUCUCCCUUCUUUGCCUUAUUUCUGAUUUGCAAGCGUUAUAUCUAUUCCGCCAAAAAAAACUGUCGCCGCCAAUGAAGACAUCUGAAGAACACCGUCCCCCACAAACAGUUUCAGAGAAAAGUCAUAUUUGCUCCAUAAUUCCUGGUCUGUAAUCUUUUUAUAGUUAUUUAUCAUUUAUGCAUUAUUCUUACAUAUUUUGCUCUUACUAACUUCUAUGGAACCUAAUCUAAUUUUAUAGGCCUGGGCAAACAAGGAUGUGAAAACACAGACAAAAGAUUGAGGUACAGUCCGA